CCUACGGGAGGCAGCAGUGGGGAAUAUUGCACAAUGGGGGAAACCCUGACGCAGCGACGCCGCGUGAGUGAAGAAGUAACUCGUUAUGUAAAGCUCUAUCAGCAGGGAAGAAAAUGACGGUACCUGAGUAAGAAGCCCCGGCUAACUACGUGCCAGCAGCCGCGGGAAUACGUAGGGGGCCAGCGUUAUCCGGAGUUACUGGGUGUAAAGGGAGCGUAGACGGCAGUGCAAGUCUGGAGUGAAAGGCGGGGGCUCAACCCCCGGACUGCUCUGGAAACUGUACGGCUGGAGUGCAGGAGAGGUAAGUGGAAUGCCUAGUGUAGCGGUGAAAUGCGUAGAUAUUAGGAGGAACACCAGUUGCGAAGGCAGCUUACUGGACUGUAACUGACGUUGAGGCUCGAAAGCGUGGGGAGCAAACAGGAUUAGAUACCCCUGUAGUC
rnacentral:rRNA from 1 species